UACAGAGGGGGCAAGCGUUGUUCGGAAUUACUGGGCGUAAAGGGCGCGUAGGCGGCCUGCUAAGUCGAACGUGAAAUCCCCGGGCUCAACCCGGGAACUGCGUCCGAUACUGGUGGGCUUGAAUCCGGGAGAGGGAUGUGGAAUUCCAGGUGUAGCGGUGAAAUGCGCAGAUAUCAGGAGGAACACCGGUGGCGAAGGCGGGUCUCUGGGCAACAACUGACGCUGAGGAGCGAAAGCGUGGGGAGCGAACAGG
rnacentral:rRNA from 1 species